rnacentral:lncRNA from 1 species
GAAAGGAGGUGUCUGGAACUCAGAACUGCCUCCAAGCCUGCUCCAGCCCAGACAGCCCUGAGUCAUUGUGAGGCCUGUAAAUGAGGAAGUUGUCCUGGUUCUUCAAGAGUGAACAUCAGAAUCACCUGUGGCAAUUUUCAUAACCCUAAAUGCUCAAGGCUCACCCUGGGCCCAUGGAACAAGGGACAUUCAGGUGCCAGGGUUUCACCAUUGAUGAGAGGGAGGCCUUUUUCAGCGCCAUGACAUACGUAACCACUUCCAUCUGAUUUUUUGGAUUCAUGCUUACAUUGCAACAGGCAACACCGCAGAAGGUGCAAACAAAAGACUUUGCUAAAUUGGAUUCAAGGCCAAAAUACGAGUUUUCAUGUGAAAGUUGGAGGUGGAAAAGUGAGAAUAGCCAAGAAUAUCUCACAUGUGUAAUCCAGUGGUCUGAAGCUCCAGAUGGCCCCACUUAAUUGUGCCUUGCUUUCUCCCCUGUCUUAACAGGGUCUUGCAGUUUGGAGCAUAGAACCUGAGCGUAGAGACAGAGAGGUCCCUCACAAGUAGACGUCUUCAAGCAGAGAAGAACAUUGCAUUGCCC